UACGAAGGGGGCUAGCGUUGCUCGGAAUCACUGGGCGUAAAGCGCACGUAGGCCGAUUGUUAAGUCAGGGGUGAAAUCCUGGAGCUCAACUCCAGAACUGCCUUUGAUACUGGCGACCUUGAGUCCGGGAGAGGUGAGUGGAACUGCGAGUGUAGAGGUGAAAUUCGUAGAUAUUCGCAAGAACACCAGUGGCGAAGGCGGCUCACUGGCCCGGUACUGACGCUGAGGUGCGAAAGCGUGGGGAGCAACAGG
rnacentral:rRNA from 1 species